rnacentral:rRNA from 1 species
GACGAACGCUGGCGGCGUGCCUAAUACAUGCAAGUUGAGCGAUGAAGAUUGGUGCUUGCCCCAAUUUGAAGAGCAGCGAACGGGUGAGUAACGCGUGGGGAAUCUGCCUUUGAGCGGGGGACAACAUUUGGAAACGAAUGCUAAUACCGCAUAACAACUUUAAACAUAAGUUUUAAGUUUGAAAGAUGCAAUUGCAUCACUCAAAGAUGAUCCCGCGUUGUAUUAGCUAGUUGGUGAGGUAAAGGCUCACCAAGGCGAUGAUACAUAGCCGACCUGAGAGGGUGAUCGGCCACAUUGGGACUGAGACACGGCCCAAACUCCUACGGGAGGCAGCAGUAGGGAAUCUUCGGCAAUGGACGAAAGUCUGACCGAGCAACGCCGCGUGAGUGAAGAAGGUUGUCGGAUCGUAAAACUCUGUUGGUAGAGAAGAACGUUGGUGAGAGUGGAAAGCUCAUCAAGUGACGGUAACUACACAGAAAGGGACGGCUAACUACGUG